ACGCUAGCGACAGGCUUACACACUGCAGGUGCUAAAGGGCAGCGGGGAUUUAGCUCGCUAAAUCUAGCCGGCGACCGGCGCACGGGUGCGUAACGCGUAUGCAACCGUACCUACUAGAGGGGAAUAACCCGGCGAAAGUCGGACUAAUACCGCAUAACACAGGGGGUCCCGCAUGGGAAUACUUUUGUAUAAAGGAGCCAAUCCGCUGGUCAGAUGGGCAUGCGUUCCACUUAGAUAGUUGGUGAGGUAACGGCUCACCAAGUCUUGCGAUGGAUAAGGGGUUCUGAGAGGAAGGUCCCCCACACUGGUACUGAGACACGGACCAGACUCCUACGGGAGGCAAGCAGUGAGGAAUAUUAGGUCAAUGGGCUGCAAGCCUGAACCAGCCAUGCCGCGUGCAGGAAGACGGUCCUAUGGAUUGUAAACUGCUUUUGUACGGGAGCAAUAAGAACUACGUGUAGUUCGAUGAGAGUACCGUACGAAUAAGCACCGGCUAACUCCGUGCCAGCAGCCGCGGUAAUACGGA
rnacentral:rRNA from 1 species